rfam:Salmo salar isolate Sally breed double haploid chromosome ssa29, whole genome shotgun sequence.
UAAUACAUUGACUGUAAGUCGCUCUGGAUAAGAGCUUCUGCUAAAUAACUAAAA